ACCACAUACAACGACAAAUGCUCGCCCUAGCACAUUUCACAGCUUCAACUGCUACAGACUGUCACUGAAAAAAAUGCAUUGGUCAGUCUGAACCAUGUCAAGUAAACUAUGGAAGUAGCAAAUCCACAACACAAACUGUGCUAGCACUUUCUUUCAAGUCUAACUCCAAAACAGGUACAACUUGGAAGCCACUACCCCGGUCUGUGGAAAGCGGUGGGACUUGGCUACUGGACAGUGUGAGGACGUGGGUUACAGUGCAUCCCCGUGGCCCACACCGGGUCCCCGCAAAGGGCGGCGCCGCCAGUCCCGCAGGUCGCGCAGCGUCGGCAGCAGUGCCCGGCCGGCGCCCCAGCGCGGCUCAGUACCGACUUCAGAGUACAUCGGAAUCACCGCCGGAGGACUUCUGAAAGCAGAAUGCUGGCCCCACUCCCAGAGCUCUGACUGGGAUGUCUGGGCAGGGGUCCGAGGAGCUGCCUUUUCACCAAGUUCCCAGAUGACUCUGGUGCUGUGGACUAGGCCACACUUGAAAACCAACAGACGUGUUGAGACUUGAUGGGAGAGGACACAGAGGACAAAGGACAUAAAAUAUUCAGAAAUACAGAAGAAAUGCUGGGCAGUGAGAUUUAAAUUUAAUUUGGAUGAUCUGACAUUUCAGUGGAAGUGCAACUUCAUUUUUAGAGUUGAAAGGAAAAGUGCUGAUUUGCCAUUUAAAAUACUCAACAGUUUUAAUGGAGUUAUGUCAGAACUUUCAGAUGGGCCCACACAAGGUAGCUCAUCCCAGUGAAAACAAGCAAAUAAGCUGCAAGGGAAAUCUGUCUCUGGGAUGUCAGCAGUGAUGGUUGUGGGAGACACUUUAGACUACAUCUAACAGCAGCAGAUUGGAGGGAAAUAAGAGCAAGUCCCCUAAACUGUGACUUUCAGUCUACCACCAUCAUCGUUACUUUGUUAGAAUAAAUCAUCCAUAUGUUGAAGGAUCUAA